AAUAUUGGACAAUAGGGGCAACCCUGAUCCAGCCAUGCCGCGUGUGUGAAGAAGGUCUUCGGAUUGUAAAGCACUUUAAGUUGGGUGGAAGGGAUUUAGGUUAGUACCCUGAAGUUUUGACGUUACCAACAGAAUGAGCACUGGAUCACUCUGUGCCAUCAGCCGCGGUAAUACAGAGGGUGCAAGCGUUAAUCGGAAUUACUGGGCGUAAGGCGCGCGUAGGUGGUUCAGUAAGAUGGGUGUGAAAUCCCCGGGCUUAACCUGGGAACUGCUUUCAUAACUGCUGAGCUAGAGUACGGUAGAGGGUAGUGGAAUUUCCUGUGUAGCGGUGAAAUGCGUAGAUAUAGGAAGGAACACCAGUGGCGAAGGCGACUACCUGGACUGAUACUGACACUGAGGUGCGAAAGCGUGGGGAGCAAAC
rnacentral:rRNA from 1 species